CAAGACUAUAAAUGGAGUAACAGCGCUAGUACCUCCCUCGGAAUCAGCCACCACAACUAAAGUGCUAACAGCAGCAUCAGUAUUGCAGCUCAUGAUGGGACUUGAGCUCGGACACGCUGCAGAGAUAAAUGCCACACUAUUGGAAGUGGACAAAUCUGUGAUUCAGAAGAUGCUGGACUUGCCUGACUCUGUGGUAGCAAAUAUUGGGGAAGCAAUUAAUAUGCUGAAAGAAGAAUAUUCUUGGUCCGACUGAGAUAUAUAAUGCACGAUUUCUAUUUCUUUC